UACGAAGGGGGCUAGCGUUGUUCGGAAUUACUGGGCGUAAAGCGCGCGUAGGCGGUUUUGCAAGCCAGAGGUGAAAUGCCUGAGCUCAACUUAGGAAUUGCCUUUGGGACUGCGAGGCUUUGAGGACUGGAGAGGUGAGUGGAAUUCCCAGUGUAGAGGUGAAAUUCGUAAGAUAUUGGGAGAACACCGGUGGCGAAGGCGGCUCACUGGCUCAUAUCUGACGCUCAGGCGCGACAGCGUGGGGAUCAAACAGG
rnacentral:rRNA from 1 species